rnacentral:rRNA from 1 species
AUGUUAGAUACGUCGGGUUUAUCCAAGGCAUGGUGGGGGGAGGCUAUAUUGACGGCAUGUCAUGUCCUGAAUAAAGUUCCGAUAAAGGAUAAUGAGAUCACUCCCUAUGAAAGAUGGGCAAAGAGAAGGACAACACUCUCGUACUUGCGUACUUGGGGCUGUUUGGCGAAAGUCAACGUGCCGAUCCCCAAAAAGCGUAAGCUUGGACCCAAGACUAUGGACUGCGUUAAUUUGGGCUACGCUAAGAAUAGCGUUGGCUAUAGAUUUCUAUUAGUGAAAUCUGAGUUACCUGACCAGAAGGUCGGUACAAUCAUAGAGCCUAAGGAUGCUACAUUCUUUGAGGAUAUUUUUCCUAUGAGAGAUAUGCAAAGCACUUCUAGAUAG